rnacentral:rRNA from 1 species
GUAGCAUAAUCACUUGCCCAUUAAUUGUGGGCUAGAAUGAAUGGAAAAACGAAGUAAUAGCUGUCUCUAGUAGUACCAUAAAAACUAAUCUUCCAGUGAAGAAGCUGAAAUAAAAUCACAGGACAAGAAGACCCUAUAGAGCUUUAUUUUUAAUACAUAAAUUAAAUGUAAAAAAAUUCAGUUGGGGCGACUAAGGAAAAAUCAUCCUAAAUAUAUAAGACCUACAAGUCAAUCAAAAGAUCCUAAAAAUAGAUCAAAGAAAUAAGCUACCUUAGGGAUAACAGGCUAAUCCUCCUGGAAAGUCCAAAUUUAUAGGAGGGGUUGGCACCU